rnacentral:hammerhead_ribozyme from 1 species
GCACCGCUGACGUGUCCAAAACAGGACGAAACAGCUGUCCAGUGC